rnacentral:rRNA from 1 species
GAUGAACGCUGGCGGCGUGCCUAAUACAUGCAAGUCGAGCGAACAGACGAGGAGCUUGCUCCUCUGACGUUAGCGGCGGACGGGUGAGUAACACGUGGAUAACCUACCUAUAAGACUGGGAUAACUUCGGGAAACCGGAGCUAAUACCGGAUAAUAUAUUGAACCGCAUGGUUCAAUAGUGAAAGACGGUUUUGCUGUCACUUAUAGAUGGAUCCGCGCCGGAUUAGCUAGUUGGUAAGGGAACGGCUUACCAAGGCAACGAUGCGUAGCCGACCUGAGAGGGUGAUCGGCCACACUGGAACUGAGACACGGUCCAGACUCCUACGGGAGGCAGCAGUAGGGAAUCUUCCGCAAUGGGCGAAAGCCUGACGGAGCAACGCCGCGUGAGUGAUGAAGGUCUUCGGAUCGUAAAACUCUGUUAUUAGGGAAGAACAAAUGUGUAAGUAACUAUGCACGUCUUGACGGUACCUAAUCAGAAAGCCACGGCUAACUACGUG